rnacentral:rRNA from 1 species
ACGGGGGGUGCGAGCGUUGUCCGGAAUCACUGGGCGUAAAGGGCGCGUAGGUGGUCUGAUAAGGGUGUGGUGAAAGCCCUGGGCUCAACCUGGGAAUGGCAUUGGAAACUGGCGACCUAGAGUGCGGUAGAGGGUAGUGGAAUUCCCGGUGUAGCAGUGAAAUGCGUAGAGAUCGGGAGGAACAUCCGUGGCGAAGGCGGCUACCUGGACCAGCACUGACACUGAGGCACGAAAGCGUGGGGAGCAAACAGGA